GAUGAAGAACGUAGCAAAAAGCGAUAAGUAAUGUGAAUUGCAGAAUUCAGUGAAUCAUCGAAUCUUUGAACGCACAUUGCGCCCGCCAGUAUUCUGGCGGGCAUGCCUGUUCGAGCGUCAUUUCAACCCUCAAGCACAGCUUGGUGUUGGGACUCGCGUUAAUUCGCGUUCCUCAAAUUGAUUGGCGGUCACGUCGAGCUUCCAUAGCGUAGUAGUAAAACCCUCGUUACUGGUAAUCGUCGCGGCCACGCCGUUAAACCCCAACUUCUGAAUGUUGACCUCGGAUCAGGUAGGAAUACCCGCUGAACUUAAGCAUAUCAAUAAGCGGAGGA
rnacentral:misc_RNA from 1 species